rnacentral:rRNA from 1 species
ACCUACGGGGCGCAGCAGUGGGGAAUAUUGGGCAAUGGGGGAAACUCUGAUCCAGCGACGCCGCGUGAGUGAAGAAGUAUUUCGGUAUGUAAAGCUCUAUCAGCAGGGAAGAAAAUGACGGUACCUGACUAAGAAGCCCCGGCUAACUACGUGCCAGCAGCCGCGGUAAUACGUAGGGGGCAAGCGUUAUCCGGAUUUACUGGGUGUAAAGGGAGCGUAGACGGCAUAGCAAGUCUGAUGUGAAAGAUCGGGGCUCAACCUCGGGCCUGCAUUGGAAACUGUUAAGCUGGAGUACAGGAGAGGUA